rfam:Providencia burhodogranariea DSM 19968 genomic scaffold scaffold00002, whole genome shotgun sequence.
GCCGCACUCAACAAGUUCCUUGCCUCCGCGGGCCGCGGUUAACCCAGACAGGAGGCUAAUAAUCCGUAAGGAGCAACUACUAAUG